CUUUCCAUGUGUCUUUUUAGCUGAAUAUUAGGAUCACAACUUAACUUAAAUUAGCAGUAUAGUGUCAAUGGGCGUCAUCUGAAGCUAAUAAGAUGUUGUUACUGAAGAACAGCCCCUUGCUACUUACUUGCACAGUACGUGAAAAACACCCUAAAUAGAUUAAAGAAAUCAUACUUGACUGUGAUUGCAUUUGGUUGACGCUUACGUUUAUUUCUCAUCGGUAGAUCAAGGGGGUAAUCUUCUACGUUUCAGGUCCAAGCUUUCAAUGCAUUUUUCUAUCUUUUUUUCAUAUCCCAAUCAUCAUUUGCAAGGCCGAAGCAUGCAUGUCUAUAUGGUUUUGUGGCACUGAUUUCGUUCCAUGCCAGUUUAUUUCCAGCAGUUGGUCUGCUUCUUCAUAGAGAUUUUAUCAGUAUACUAAAUUAAAUAAGAAACUGAAUGUGUAUUGCUUUCACCUUCAGUUUGAACAUGAUUGUCCUAUUUGUGACAUAGGUGAAAAUUAGCAAGCAAGCUACAGUCGGUGCAUGGAUGACCAAGUUUACUUGUUACUUUAUGAAGAUGAUGAUUCCUAAAUAGAAUUACGAGCUAUGUCCUGCAUGUUGACCGUGCUUCAAGGGUAGAAGAGAAUGGGAGGAGGGGACGCGUGCUCCAUAUUUUGUUAUGCACACCUUCCUAAACUAUACUUUUCUUCUUAACAUAUGUUCAUUGUCUAGCAGAAGCUGUAGAUUUCAGCGUACAAUAAUUUCCAAAAUGGUAGAAGGCAUUCAAGACCUGGCAGGGCUGGGUCAACCGGCCCUUCGUGUUCAAGACCCGGCUCUGAUGAGCCUUGACAGUCGUGCUACCGGCUGGGCAUCGUCAUCCUGAGCCAUGUCCGGAACCAGACCAGUAGGGGCACCCUAAGCGAGCACUCGAGGCAUGCUGUCAAGUUGGACGAGUGCAACCAAGCCAGCUGUUGUGUGUGUCCAUGGUUACAUUGUUGUAUUGUUGGUUAAAGACAAUGUUUUUCUUCUUGAAUUAUGAAACCUCGAACAACAGUAGGAUAUAAUCAUUUUGUUCGUUUUGCAAUCAAAGCUUCC
rnacentral:rRNA from 1 species